rnacentral:rRNA from 1 species
GGGAGGCAGCAGUAGGGAAUAUUGGUCAAUGGGGGAAACCCUGAACCAGCGACGCCGCGUGCGGGAUGAAGGGGCUUUGCCCUGUAAACCGCUGUCGGAGGGGAAGAAAAGCCGGGUCGCCCGGCUGGGACUGUACCCUUAGAGGAAGGUUCGGCUAACUACGUGCCAGCAGCCGCGGUAAUACGUAGGAACCAAGCGUUGUCCGGAAUUACUGGGUGUAAAGGGUGCGCAGGCGGACUUGUGCGUCAGAGGUUAAAUGCCCCGGCUCAACCGGGGAAAUGCCUUUGAUACGGCAAGUCUUGAGUACGAGAGAGGAUGGUAGAAUUCCUGGUGUAGCGGUGAAAUGCGUAGAUAUCAGGAGGAAUACCCGUGGCGAAGGCGGCCAUCUGGCUCGUUACUGACGCUCAGGCACGAAAGCGUGGGGAGCAAACAGGAUUAGAUACCCUGGUAGUCCG